GAUGAACGCUGGCUACAGGCUUAACACAUGCAAGUCGAGGGGAAACGACGGGGAAGCUUGCUUCCCCGGGCGUCGACCGGCGCACGGGUGAGUAACGCGUAUCCAACCUGCCUCUGACUGAGGGAUAACCCGUCGAAAGUCGGCCUAAUACCUCAUGGCAUCGUCUGCGGGCAUCCAACGACGAUUAAAGAUUUCAUCGGUCAGAGAUGGGGAUGCGUCUGAUUAGCUUGUUGGCGGGGUAACGGCCCACCAAGGCGACGAUCAGUAGGGGUUCUGAGAGGAAGGUCCCCCACAUUGGAACUGAGACACGGUCCAAACUCCUACGGGAGGCAGCAGUGAGGAAUAUUGGUCAAUGGGCGAGAGCCUGAACCAGCCAAGUAGCGUGCAGGAUGACGGCCCUAUGGGCUGUAAACUGCUUUUAUGCGGGGAUAAAGUGAGGGACGUGUCCUUCAUUGCAGGUACCGCAUGAAUAAGGACCGGCUAAUUCCGU
rnacentral:rRNA from 1 species